AGUGAACGCUGGCGGUAGGCCUAACACAUGCCAGUCGAACGGCAGCACAGUAAGAGCUUGCUCUUACGGGUGGCGAGUGGCGGACGGGUGAGGAAUACAUCGGAAUCUACUUUUUCGUGGGGGAUAACGUAGGGAAACUUACGCUAAUACCGCAUACGACCUACGGGUGGAAGCAGGGGAUCUUCGGACCUUGCGCGAUUGAAUGAGCCGAUGUCGGAUUAGCUAGUUGGCAGGGUAAAGGCCCACCAAGGCGACGAUCCGUAGCGGGUCUGAGAGGAUGAUCAGCCACACUGGAACUGAGACACGGUCCAGACUCCUACGGGAGGCAGCAGUGGGGAAUAUUGGACAAUGGGCGCAAGCCUGACCCAGCCAUACCGCGUGGGUGAAGAAGGCCUUCGGGUUGUAAAGCCCUUUUGUUGGGAAAGAAAAGCAGUAGGUUAAUACCCCGCUGUUCUGACGGUACCCAAAGAAUAAGCACCGGCUAACUUCGUG
rnacentral:rRNA from 1 species